AGGAAGACAGACCGAAGAAAGGAAGAAUAAUACUCCAUAGUACUUCAAAGAGGCAUCUCUUUGUUUUUAAAGCUUCGGCGGUUAGGGAUGGGCAUGCGUCCUAUUAGUUAGUUGGUGAGGUAACGGCUCACCAAGACUACGAUAGGUAGGGGGCCUGAGAGGGUUAUCCCCCACACUGGUACUGAGACACGGACCAGACUCCUACGGGAGGCAGCAGUGAGGAAUAUUGGUCAAUGGACGAAAGUCUGAACCAGCCAUGCCGCGUGCAGGAUGAAUGCCCUACGGGUUGUAAACUGCUUUUGUAUAAGAAGAAACCCUCGCUCGUGUCGGGAGCUGACGGUACUAUACGAAUAAGGACCGGCUAACUCCGUGCCAGCAGCCGCGGUAAUACGGAGGGUCCAAGCGUUAUCCGGAUUUAUUGGGUUUAAAGGGUCCGCAGGCGGGGGAAUAAGUCAGUGGUGAAAUCCUACAGCUUAACUGUGGAACUGCCAUUGAUACUGGUAAACUUGAGUAUUGUUGAGGCAGGCGGAAUUUAUGAUGUAGCGGUGAAAUGCAUAGAUAUCAUAAAGAACACCGAUAGCGAAGGCAGCUUGCUAAACGAUAACUGACACUAAUACACGAAAGCGUGGGUAGCGAACAGGAUUAGAUACCCUGGUAGUCCACGCCGUAAACGAUGUUAACUCGAUGUAUGCGAUACACUGUAGUAUGCGUCCAAGCGAAAGCGUUAAGUUAACCACCUGGGGAGUACGCUCGGAAGAGUGAAACUCAAAGGAAUUGACGGGGGUCCGCACAAGCGGUGGAGCAUGUGGUUUAAUUCGAUGAUACGCGAGGAACCUUACCUGGGCUCGAAUGUGAGCGCAAGGAUUGGGAAACCAGUCCUUCUUCGGACGGACUACAAGGUGCUGCAUGGUUGUCGUCAGCUCGUGCCGUGAGGUGUCAGGUUAAGUCCUAUAACGAGCGCAACCCCUAUCUUUAGUUGCCAGCGGUUCGGCCGGGGACUCUAAAGAAACUGCCCGCGCAAGCGGUGAGGAAGGUGGGGAUGACGUCAAAUCAUCACGGCCCUUACGUCCAGGGCCACACACGUGCUACAAUGGUAUUGACAAAGGGCAGCUACAUGGCGACAGGAUGCUAAUCUCUAAACACCAUCUCAGUUCGGAUUGGAGUCUGCAACUCGACUCUAUGAAGCUGGAAUCGCUAGUAAUCGCGCAUCAGCCAUGGCGCGGUGAAUACGUUCCCGGGCCUUGUACACACCGCCCGUCAAGCCAUGGAAGCGGGGGUACCGAAGUCGUCACCGCAGAGC
rnacentral:rRNA from 1 species